rnacentral:rRNA from 1 species
GCAGUCGAGCGGACAGAUGGGAGCUUGCUCCCUGAUGUUAGCGGCGGACGGGUGAGUAACACGUGGGUAACCUGCCUGUAAGACUGGGAUAACUCCGGGAAACCGGGGCUAAUACCGGAUGCUUGAUUGAACCGCAUGGUUCAAUUAUAAAAGGUGGCUUUUAGCUACCACUUACAGAUGGACCCGCGGCGCAUUAGCUAGUUGGUGAGGUAACGGCUCACCAAGGCGACGAUGCGUAGCCGACCUGAGAGGGUGAUCGGCCACACUGGGACUGAGACACGGCCCAGACUCCUACGGGAGGCAGCAGUAGGGAAUCUUCCGCAAUGGACGAAAGUCUGACGGAGCAACGCCGCGUGAGUGAUGAAGGUUUUCGGAUCGUAAAACUCUGUUGUUAGGGAAGAACAAGUACCGUUCGAAUAGGGCGGUACCUUGACGGUACCUAACCAGAAAGCCACGGCUAACUACGUGCCAGCAGCCGCGGUAAUACGUAGGUGGCAAGCGUUGUCCGGAAUUAUUGGGCGUAAAGCGCGCGCAGGCGGUUUCUUAAGUCUGAUGUGAAAGCCCCCGGCUCAACCGGGGAGGGUCAUGGAAACUGGGGAACUUGAGUGCAGAAGAGGAGAGUGGAAUUCCACGUGUAGCGGUGAAAUGCGUAGAGAUGUGGAGGAACACCAGUGGCGAAGGCGACUCUCUGGUCUGUAACUGACGCUGAGGCGCGAAAGCGUGGGGAGCGAACAGGAUUAGAUACCCUGGUAGUCCACGCCGUAAACGAUGAGUGCUAAGUGUUAGAGGGUUUCCGCCCUUUAGUGCUGCAGCAAACGCAUUAAGCACUCCGCCUGGGGAGUACGGUCGCAAGACUGAAACUCAAAGGAAUUGACGGGGGCCCGCACAAGCGGUGGAGCAUGUGGUUUAAUUCGAAGCAACGCGAAGAACCUUACCAGGUCUUGACAUCCUCUGACAACCCUAGAGAUAGGGCUUCCCCUUCGGGGGCAGAGUGACAGGUGGUGCAUGGUUGUCGUCAGCUCGUGUCGUGAGAUGUUGGGUUAAGUCCCGCAACGAGCGCAACCCUUGAUCUUAGUUGCCAGCAUUCAGUUGGGCACUCUAAGGUGACUGCCGGUGACAAACCGGAGGAAGGUGGGGAUGACGUCAAAUCAUCAUGCCCCUUAUGACCUGGGCUACACACGUGCUACAAUGGGCAGAACAAAGGGCAGCGAAGCCGCGAGGCUA